rnacentral:tRNA from 1 species
UCUAAUGUGGCAGAAAAGUGCAUUGGAUUUAAGCUCCAAAUAUAAAGUAAUCAUAAACUUUUAUUAGAA